rnacentral:rRNA from 1 species
AAUGAACGCUGGCGGCGCGCCUAAUACAUGCAAGUCGAGCGAGAAGACGUAGCAAUACGUUUGUAAAGCGGCGAACGGGUGAGGAAUACAUGGGUAACCUACCCUCGAGUGGGGAAUAACUAGCCGAAAGGUUAGCUAAUACCGCGUACGCUUCUUGGACUUCGGUUCAGGGAGGAAAGCGAUGCCGAGGGUAUCGCGCUCUUGGAUGGGCUCAUGUCCUAUCAGCUUGNGGUGAGGUAACGGCUCACCAAGGCUUCGACGGGUAGCUGGUCUGAGAGGACGAUCAGCCACACUGGCACUGCGACACGGGCCAGACUCCUACGGGAGGCAGCAGUAAGGAAUAUUGCGCAAUGGGCGAAAGCCUGACGCAGCGACG